rnacentral:rRNA from 1 species
GUACACUCCUGCGGGAGGCAGCAGUGGGGAAUAUUGCACAAUGGGCGCAAGCCUGAUGCAGCCAUGCCGCGUGUAUGAAGAAGGCCUUCGGGUUGUAAAGUACUUUCAGCGGGGAGGAAGGCGAUAAGGUUAAUAACCUUGUUGAUUGACGUUACCCGCAGAAGAAGCACCGGCUAACUCCGUGCCAGCAGCCGCGGUAAUACGGAGGGUGCAAGCGUUAAUCGGAAUUACUGGGCGUAAAGCGCACGCAGGCGGUCUGUCAAGUCGGAUGUGAAAUCCCCGGGCUCAACCUGGGAACUGCAUUCGAAACUGGCAGGCUAGAGUCUUGUAGAGGGGGGUAGAAUUCCAGGUGUAGCGGUGAAAUGCGUAGAGAUCUGGAGGAAUACCGGUGGCGAAGGCGGCCCCCUGGACAAAGACUGACGCUCAGGUGCGAAAGCGUGGGGAGCAAACAGGAUUAGAAACCCGGGUAGUCCCAUGA